CAGCCAUCAUUUAAAGAAAGCGUAAUAGCUCACUGGUCGAGUCGGCCUGCGCGGAAGAUGUAACGGGGCUAAACCAUGCACCGAAGCUGCGGCAGCGACACUCAGGUGUUGUUGGGUAGGGGAGCGUUCUGUAAGCCUGUGAAGGUGUGUCGUGAGGCAUGCUGGAGGUAUCAGAAGUGCGAAUGCUGACAUAAGUAACGAUAAAGCGGGUGA
rnacentral:rRNA from 1 species